rnacentral:rRNA from 1 species
UACGAAGGGGGCUAGCGUUGCUCGGAAUCACUGGGCGUAAAGCGCACGUAGGCGGGUUGUUAAGUCGGGGGUGAAAUCCUGGAGCUCAACUCCAGAACUGCCUUCGAUACUGGAGAGCUCGAGUCCGGGAGAGGUGAGUGGAACUGCGAGUGUAGAGGUGAAAUUCGUAGAUAUUCGCAAGAACACCAGUGGCGAAGGCGGCUCACUGGCCCGGUACUGACGCUGAGGUGCGAAAGCGUGGGGAGCAAACAGG